rnacentral:rRNA from 1 species
UACGAAGGGGCUAGCGUUGCUCGGAAUCACUGGGCGUAAGCGCACGUAGGCGGCUUUCUAAGUCAGGGUGAAAUCCUGGAGGCUCAACUCCAGAACUGCCUUUGAUACUGGAGAGCUAGAGUCCGGAAGAGGUGAGUGGAACUGCGAGUGUAGAGGUGAAAUUCGUAGAUAUUCGCAAGAACACCAGUGGCGAAGGCGGCUCACUGGUCCGGUACUGACGCCGAGGUGCGAAAGCGUGGGGAGCAAACAGG